GUCCAGACUCCUACGGGAGGCAGCAGUGAGGAAUAUUGGUCAAUGGGAGAGAUCCUGAACCAGCCAAGCCGCGUGAGGGAAGACGGCCCUAUGGGUUGUAAACCUCUUUUGUCGGAGAACAAAACCCGGGACGUGUCCCGGACUGCGUGUAUCCGAAGAAAAAGCAUCGGCUAACUCCGUGCCAGCAGCCGCGGUAAUACGGAGGAUGCGAGCGUUAUCCGGAUUUAUUGGGUUUAAAGGGUGCGUAGGCGGAAUAUCAAGUCAGCGGUAAAAAUUCGGGGCUCAACCCCGUCGUGCCGUUGAAACUGAUGUUCUUGAGUGGGCGAGAAGUAUGCGGAAUGCGUGGUGUAGCGGUGAAAUGCAUAGAUAUCACGCAGAACCCCGAUUGCGAAGGCAGCCUUCCGGCGCCCUACUGACGCUGAGGCACGAAAGUGCGGGGAUCGAACAGGAUUAGAUACCCCUGUAUG
rnacentral:rRNA from 1 species